rnacentral:miRNA from 1 species
AUCGCUUUACCAUUCAUGUU